GAUGAACGCUAGCGACAGGCCUAACACAUGCAAGUCGAGGGGCAGCACAUGAGUAGCAAUACGAUGGUGGCGACCGGCGCACGGGUGCGUAACGCGUAUGGAACCUACCCACCGCAGGGGGAUAACCCGCCGAAAGGCGGACUAAUACCCCAUGGUUCCCCGACCCUGCCUGGGGUUGGGGGUAAAGCCUACGGGCGGCGGUGGAUGGCCCUGCGUGCCAUUAGCUGGCUGGUGGGGUAACGGCCCACCAGGGCGACGAUGGCUAGGGGGUCUGAGAGGACGAUCCCCCACACUGGUACUGAGACACGGACCAGACUCCUACGGGAGGCAGCAGUGAGGAAUAUUGGACAAUGGGCGCAAGCCUGAUCCAGCCAUUCCGCGUGCAGGAUGAAGGCCUUCGGUUGUAAACUGUCUUUUGUUACGGAACGAAACGGUCUGCCCUAAUACGGCAGGCUAAUGACGGUACCGUAAGAAUAAGCACCGGCUAACUACGUG
rnacentral:rRNA from 1 species